UGAUGGUAUGAUGAGAUUGCAUGAUAGCAUCAUUAAAGAUUUAUCGGUGUACGAUGGGGAUGCGUUCCAUUCGGUAGUAGGCGGGGUAACGGCCCACCUAGCCUACGAUGGAUAGGGGUUCUGAGAGGAAGGUCCCCCACAUUGGAACUGAGACACGGUCCAAACUCCUACGGGAGGCAGCAGUGAGGAAUAUUGGUCAAUGGACGAGAGUCUGAACCAGCCAAGUAGCGUGAAGGAUGAAGGUCCUACGGAUUGUAAACUUCUUUUAUAAGGGAAUAAAGUCGGGUAUGUAUACCCGUUUGCAUGUACUUUAUGAAUAAGGAUCGGCUAACUCCGUGCCAGCAGCCGCGGUAAUACGGAGGAUUCGAGCGUUAUCCGGAUUUAUUGGGUUUAAAGGGAGCGUAGAUGGAUGUUUAAGUCAGUUGUGAAAGUUUGCGGCUCAACCGUAAAAUUGCAGUCGAUACUGGAUAUCUUGAGUGCAGUUGAG
rnacentral:rRNA from 1 species